rnacentral:tRNA from 1 species
AUUUAUAUAGUUUAAAAAACAAACAUUACAUUUUCAUUGUAAAAAUAAAAUCUUAUUUUUAUAAAUA